ensembl:misc_RNA Metazoa_SRP Metazoan signal recognition particle RNA
GCCAGGCGUGGUGGCGCAUGCCUGUAAUCCCAGCUACUCGGGAGGCUGAGGCAGGAGAAUUGCUUGAACCCGGGAGGCAGAGGUUGCAGUGAGCCAAGAUCGCGCCAUUGCACUCCAACCUGGGCAACAAGAGUGAAACUCCAUCUCAAACAAAAAAGAAAAAGAAAAAGAAAAAGAGACAGCAUCUCACUCUGUUGCCCAGGCUGGAGUGCAAUGAUGCAAUCAUGGCUCACGGUAACUUCGAACUCCUGGGCUCAAGCAAGCUUCCUCCCUCA